rnacentral:rRNA from 1 species
AGGGCAUACGGUGGAUGCCUAGGCGCCAAGAGCCGAAGAAGGACGCGGUAAGCUGCGAAAAGCCACGGGGAACUGCAAGCAAGUAUUGAUCCGUGGAUAUCCGAAUGGGGAAACCCGGCCAUCGUCAUGGAUGGUCACCCGCAAGGGAGGGAACCUGGGGAACUGAAACAUCUAAGUACCCGGAGGAAGAGAAAUCAAACGAGAUGCCCACAGUAGCGGCGAGCGAAGAGGGCAGAGCCCAAACCGAGAAGCUCCGGCUUUUCGGGGUUGAGGACCGGCAGAAUCGAAGUCAGGCCUAGUUGAAUUACCUGGAAAGGUAAGCGAGAGAGGGUAAAAGCCCCGUAGACGAAAGGCAGAGCAGAGAGGCCGAGAUCCAGAGUACCACGAAGCACGAGGAAUUUUGUGGGAAGCAGGGGGGACCACCCUCCAAGGCUAAAAACUACUUGGCGACCGAUAGCGCAUAGUACCGUGAGGGAAAGGUGAAAAGAACCCCGGGAGGGGAGUGAAAUAGUACCUGAAACCGUAUGUCUACAAGCAGUCGAAGCGAAAGCGACGGCGUGCCUAUUGAAGAAUGAACCAACGAGUUAUCUGCACUAGCGAGGUUAAGUGGAAGACACGGAGCCGCAGCGAAAGCGAGUCUUAAGAGGGCGCUAGUUAGUGUAGGUAGACCCGAAACCGCAGUGAUCUACCCAUGUCCAGGUUGAAGCGCAGGUAAAAUUGCGUGGAGGACCGAACCGGUGAGCGUUGAAAAGCUUUCGGAUGAGAUGUGGGUAGGGGUGAAAUUCCAAUCGAACGCGGAGAUAGCUGGUUCUCCCCGAAAUAGCUUUAGGGCUAGCCUGAGGUAGUAAGUAUAGGCGGUAGAGCACUGAUCGGGCUAGGGGCCGUAAAGGUUACCGAACCCUGUCAAACUCCGAAUGGAUAUACUGUAGAGCCUUGGAGUCAGACUACGAGUGAUAAGAUCCGUGGUCAAAAGGGAAACAGCCCAGACCACCAGCUAAGGUCCCCAAUGUCGUACUAAGUGGAAAAGGAUGUGGGGUUUCAUAAACAACCAGGAUGUUGGCUCAGAAGCAGCCACCAUUUAAAGAGUGCGUAAUAGCUCACUGGUCGAGAGACCCUGCGCCGAAGAUUCCCGGGGCUAAAGUACGAAACCGAAGCUGUGGCUGUAUACGUAAAGUAUACGGGGUAGGGGAGCGUUCCCAUAGGGUAGAAGUCGAACUGGAAGGUUCGGUGGACUUGUGGGAAGUGAGAAUGUUGGUAUGAGUAGCGAAAAGAAAGGUGAGAAUCCUUUCCACCGAAAGCAUAAGGAUUCCUGAGCAACGAUCGUCGUCUCAGGGUAAGUCGGGACCUAAUCCGAGGCAGAGAGCGUAGGAGAUGGACAACUGGUUGAUAUUCCAGUACCGGUAGUAAUUGUUUGAGCAAUGGAGUGACACAGAAGGGCAGGCAAGCAUGCGAAUGGAAGAGCAUGUGUAAGCGUGUAGGGUGGUGCAUAGGCAAAUCCGUGCACUGAAAGCCUGAGGCGUGAUGCGGAGUGAGCAGAGAUGCGAGCGAAGUUGUUGACCCCACACUGUCGAGAAAAGCUUCUAGUGAGAGAGCUACCGCCCGUACCGUAAACCGACACAGGUGGAUGCGGGGAGAGAAUCCUAAGGUGCGCGGGAGAACCCUCGUUAAGGAACUCGGCAAAAUGUACCCGUAACUUCGGGAUAAGGGUAGCCACUGUUGUGAAGUCCCACGCGGAUGGAGCAUAGAGUGGUCGCAGAGAAGAGGCCCAAGCGACUGUUUACCAUAAACACAGGUGCCUGCUAAAGCGAAAGCUGACGUAUAGGUGCUGACACCUGCCCAGUGCCGGAAGGUUAAGGAAGGAUGUUCGGAUUAGUCCAAAGCAUUCGACUGAAGCCCCGGUGAACGGCGGCCGUAACUAUAACGGUCCUAAGGUAGCGAAAUUCCUUGUCGGGUAAGUUCCGACCCGCACGAAAGGUGUAACGACUUGGGCACUGUCUCAACGAGGGACCCGGUGAAAUUGAAGUACCUGUGAAGAUGCAGGUUACCCGCGACUGGACAGAAAGACCCCAUGGAGCUUUACUGUAACCUGACAUUGGGUUUUGAUACAUUACGUACAGGAUAGGUGGGAGGCAUGGAAAGCUGGACGCUAGUCUGGCUGGAGCCGACGUUGGGAUACCACCCUUGAUGUAUUGAAAUUCUAACCGCGAGAGUAACGAAAUCCGGGACAGUGUCAGGCGGGCAGUUUGACUGGGGCGGUCGCCUC